UCCGCGGAACCUCCCUGCGUAGAACCAAGCAUGUUCCCGCGUAGAAUCGCGUGGUACAUAUACAGAAGAUGUUAAGGAAGAUGGGUCAAUCCUCCUGUGUCUGCUGGAUAAUGCGGUUACUUGUGGUUGUGGUGGUGUUCAGUCUUCUCUCCUACACUGAGUGUAAUAAGCUAGAUGGUCUGGUGAAUCAAGCACAGGGAUUUGGAGAAACACAUGAAGGACCAGUUAAAGCAACACUACUAAGAGAAGGACGACAGCUGCAGGUAAAUGAAACGAUU